UACGUAGGGUGCGAGCGUUAAUCGGAAUCACUGGGCGUAAAGCGUGCGCAGGCGGUUUUGUAAGCCAGAUGUGAAAUCCCCGGGCUUAACCUGGGAAUGGCAUUUGGGACUGCAAGGCUCGAGUGCGGCAGAGGAGACUGGAAUUCCUGGUGUAGCAGUGAAAUGCGUAGAUAUCAGGAGGAACACCGAUGGCGAAGGCAGGUCUCUGGGCUGACACUGACGCUCAUGCACGAAAGCGUGGGGAGCAAACAGG
rnacentral:rRNA from 1 species